GGGGCAAAUCAUCCCGGGCGACUCCUCGAACAGAGAAAUAACAGAGGAAAAAACAGAGAAAUCGAGCGACCUCUCCGUGACGGGUAGGGUUCCAGCCCGCGGCCCUCUUCCGGUCGGGCCGCCAGCGGCGCGCCGCCCCUCCGGCCUACCCUUCCUCUGGCGCCAACUCCCCUGUCCCUGCCCCCGAGCAGCCCGCCAGCGCCGCCGACCAGACCUCCGCCCUUCCUCCUCCGCCGCUCCUCCUCUGCAGGUGUAGCCUGCCGAGGUGAAGACUUGGGACGAGAUAAUGGCAAGCUUCGCUGAUUCCUUCUUGGCCGAUCUUGACGAACUUUCAGACAAUGAAGAAGAAGACAACGCUGAGGCAGUGGGUGUGGACGAAGAUGGUAACGAUGAUAUGCCUGACCUCGAGUCUCUUAAUUAUGAUGAUCUUGACAGUGUCUCAAAACUACAGAAGACACAAUGUUAUAUUGACAUAAUGCAAAAAGUCGAAGGAGCGCUUGAGAAAGGCACAGAUUUGUCUAAUCAAGGGUUCAUCCUGGAGGAGGAUCCAGAGUACCAGCUCAUUGUAGCUUGCAAUGCUUUAUCAGUAGAUAUUGAGAAUGAACUCAUUAUAAUCCAUAAUUUCAUACGUGAUAAGUAUCGGCUGAAGUGUCCUGAACUGGAAUCCCUUGUUCAUCAUCCGAUUGAUUAUGCCCGUCUUGUUAAGAAGAUCGCCAAUGAGAUGGAUUCAACACUAGUAGAUCUGGAAGGGCUUUUACCUUCUGCAGUUAUAAUGGUUGUCUCUGUGACAGCGUCGACAACUAGUGGGAAGCCUCUUUCUGAGGAGAAUUUGGUAAAAACCAUUGAAGCAUGUGACAGAGCCCUUAAUCUUGAUGCUGCAAAGAAGAAGGUGCUUGAUUUUGUUGAGGGUAGAAUGGUUUACAUCGCACCAAACCUUUCUGGCAUUGUUGGCAGUGCUGUUGCUGCUAAACUGAUGGGGAUUGCUGGUGGUUUGGGAGCACUUGCAAAAAUGCCUGAGCAAUGUUCAGUUACUUGGAGGAAAGAAGAAAAACCUCGCUGGAUUUUCUACUGCCACAUCUCAGUUUCGUGUUGGCUAUCUUGAACAAACCGAAGUAUUUCAGAGCACCCCUCCAGCCCUGAGGACCCGUGCUUGCAGGCUUAUAGCUGCAAAGUCGACUCUAGCAGCAAGAAUCGAUUUGAUUAGAGGUGAUCCAACUGGAAAAGCUGGUCGCAACUUGUUAGAAGAAAUCCGUAAGAAGAUCGAGAAGUGGCAGGAACCACCUCCUGCAAAGCUUCCAAAACCACUUCCUGUACCAGACUCCGAGCCUAAAAAGAAGAAAGGGGGUCGCCGCCUUUGAAAAAUGAAAGAAAGAUAUGCGGUAACUGAUAUGAUGAAGCUUGCAAACCGAAUGCAGUUUGGAAUACCAGAGGAGAGCUCAUUAGGUGAUGGUUUGGGGGAAGGUUAUGGCAUGCUCGGGCAGGCCGGAAGUGGGAAGCUACGUGUCUCAGCUGCACAGAACAAACUUGCUGCUAAAGUGGCAAAAAAAUUCAAGGAGAAGAGUUGUGGUAGCAGUGGUGCAACAUCUGGACUGACAUCUAGUUUGGCCUUUACACCAGUUCAGGGAAUAGAACUGUCAAACCCACAGGCACACGGGAACCUUCUCGGAAGUGGAAUCCAGAGCACCUACUUCUCGGAGACCGGCACAUUUUCUCGGAUCGGUAGGCCUGGAGGUUAGAAUCUGAAAAAGUAAGAACCUGAUUUUGAGAUCAGAACGAUGAUUGUUUCUUGGUCCAAGCAAUUUCAUCCCAUUCUGCACACAAUUCCCAAGAACCAACUGUUGGGAUGCACUUGCGCACAACCAGCUUGUAAUAUUCUCAGAUGUAUCGCAUGGUCUGUAAUGUAAGUACAGUUUCCCUGCAAAAAAGAAAAAUGUAAGUACAGUUCGCGCACUACAACAUCACAAUGUAUGAAGUCAGGCAGUACACAACAUUCA